UCCCGUUUUAAAAAUUACAUUCAUUGUACCGUAUUAACCUCCUAGGGUUUCAUUUAGGAAACCAUACUUCUUCUCAAAAAAGAUAAAUAUCGUCUCAUUCGUUUGCUCCACCAUCGUGGCCUCCUCUGCUCCACCAGUCACCAUCAUGUCUUGAGGAAAUUGUUAAUCAAGAUCAUGGUUAUCUGCGGUGUUCGGGAGAUUAAUAAAAGAGAUGAGAUAGCUUGGUAUGCAGACGGGGAUUAUACAAUGAACAAUGAGUAUAUAAUGAUGGUGAUUAUAAAGUGUCAGUAUUAAACACAAAAUACUUUGAGUUUUAUGCAUUAUUAUAUCAGCCAUGAAUGAUGAAAACCUUGAAUUAAGGUUUUUCAGCAAGUUGAUUGUGGUACCGUUGAAGACGGUCAUGGUAACUUUAUUAAUUCUUAUUGCAUUAAAAAUUAAUUUUUUUUUGUUAUGUGAAUCUGAUUAUAUAAUUUUUUCUGACAUAUUAAAAUGGAUUUUUUAUUUUUGUCUUUUUUUUUUUUAUUUUAGUUUUUGGUACAGGUUAUAUUAUUAAUGAUGGCUUUACAGAUGAAACCGAUGAAAAUGCAAGGACCUUUUAUUUUAAUUUACUGAUGUGCAUCGAUGUUGGUUCUUCCUUUUUCUUGCUAUGUUUUUAUUGAGCAAGGAAUAAUUACGACUCUCUUGCAUUGAAUGAAAGUAUCUUUCUCUAA